CUCUCCCUCCCCCGGCCCUCCUGCUGAUGAGAGACAGGAGCGAUGGAUGGUCUGAGUUAGCGGGGUCCCGGCACCACCCAGCGCAAAGGCACUGCACUCACGCACGCCAUGCACAUGCUGGCUCACCUCCUCCAUCCCAUGCCUCCCCUGUCUCCAGCAUUCCCUCUGGAAUACAUCAGCACUGUUGCCUUUGAGGCUGGCCUGCUUGAAUGCACACCUGAGCUCCGGAUUCACAGAGUCUCACUCUAUCGCCAGGCUGGAGUGGUGCAGUGGCAAGAUCUCGGCUCACUACAGUCUCCACCUCCAGGGUUCAAGCCAUUCUCUUGCCUCAGCCUCCCAAGUAGCUGGGACUACAGUUACACACCACCACAUCCAGCUAAUUUUUGUAUUUUUAGUAGAGAUGGGGUUUCACCAUGUUGCCCAGGAUGGUCUCGAUCUCCUGACCUCAUGAUCUGCCCACCUUGGCCUCCCAAAGUGCUGGGAUUACAGGCGUGAGCCACCGCACCCAGCUGAUAAAACCAUCUUGAAUGACCUUCAUCACUGUGAACAGUGAUGCAGUGGCUUUAUAAACUCUAGAAUGUGCUACAAUUAUGUGUGUGUGUGUGUGUCUGUAUGUGUGUGUGUGUGUGUGUCUGUAUGUGUGUGUGUGUGUGUCUGUAUGUGUGUGUGUGUGUCUGUGUGUGUGUGUGUGUGUCUAUAUGUGUGUGUGUGUGUGUGUGUCUGUAUGUGUGUGUGUGUGUGUGUCUGUAUGUGUGUGUGUGUGUGUGUGUACAAGGUUUCUUUUGAGUUUCCUAUCAGCCAAGCAUCACACCACUGGGGAACCAGCUACCCUUGCUCACUUUUUGCCCGGAUCCCUAGCAAGGUCUCUGGCAUCUUGCUGUUAUACCAGAGAGCACUAGGCAGCUGUGAACAGACCAAGUGGGCUCUGGAGGGUUGAAGGUGCUUAUUAUGAAUCCGGGGGGUCUUAGGGAGCUAGCAGUCUUUCCUCCUCAAGAAGGAGAUAAUUAUUGUUUAACUUUCAUCUGGGCAGUGAAUGCGACAUUUUUAAACACCUCCCUCCCCAUCCUAGAACCUCCAAUUGCCAAGGUUAAGUGCAUCUUCAAAGUUUAUUAACCAAGAACUACUGUGGCUCAGGUGAUCUUGGAAUAAUACAAACCUGCCUUUUAAUUUUCACUGAGCUCGUUGUAUGCUUUGUGAUCCCAGGGAGAUUGUUUCACUUCUCUGAGCCUCCAUUUCCUCACCUAUAAAGUGCAGCUUAGAAAUACUUCCAAGGCUGUCGUUGGGAGCAUCACAUGGGCAGCGUGGGUGCCUAGUAAGUGUUGGCUGUUGUCAUUCAAGAAGGAUGGUGUGAGCCUGCACAUGAGUCAGCAGGGGAGAGAAGGCAAGAUUCUGCCCAGAACAAGUCAAGGAAAAUCAGAUGCAGUUUUCAAUUAUUGAGUCACAGUCUCUCGUGGCUUGGAAGGAGAUAGAGGAUUCCUCCUCCCAACCAAUACCUUUACGAUGUUCUUUCCACACAGCUCUGUGGUUUACAAGGCAGGCUCUGCACUUCAUCCUGUUUAAUCUUCAACCUGCACGUAGUGUGAGUGGGGUCCCUCCACCCCUUUUUCCAUCAGAGCAUUAGAACAAGCAGAGUUCUUAGAGCUGGUCCAGUCCAGAGAUCUUGGACUGGGGGCCUGCAGGCUGGCGACUCUCAUCUGGUCCCAACCAGAUCAGGAAAGCAGAAACUCAGUGAAGCCACAUGGAGGGGCUAGUGUUGGGUCCUCUGGGUGGAGCCCAAGAAGCUUGGUGGGCACUCAAGACCCCUCAGGACCAGCCCCACUCCCCUGUUCGAUUCCUUCCUCACCUUGUUCCCCAUUCUCAAAUCAUCUUGAACUCUGUGCAAGUCCCAGAAUGACCCUGGCUGUCUUGGCCUUUGUAAAAGUUGUUCCUUAUUCCUAAAAUUCCCUUCCACUCACUUUUUGCCCAGAUCCCUACUCAUCCCUUUUUACCCAGAUCCCUUUUUACCCAGAUUCCUAUUCAUCUUUCAGGUCUCAAGCCCAGAUGACGUUCCAGGAAGGCCUUCCCUGCCUGGGUGGGGUGGGGGGAGGGCAUCUUUGUGUUCCUAGAGACCCCUGGACUCCCCCUACCACUAAUAAGUCUGUCUUGAGGUUGUCUGUGUCUAUUUGGAUGUUUGCUUCUCCCCCUAGACCAGAAGGUCCUUGGAGACUUGGUGUGGGCACCAUUCACUCCAUGUCCUUAGGCCAUAGGGUAAUGACAGCAUAGAGAGAUGCUCAAAGGCAUCUUUGAAUGAAUGAGGAAGGAAGGAAGGAAGGAGGGAGGGAGGGAGCGAGAGAGAGAGAGAGAGAGAGACAGAAAGAAAGAAAGAAAGAAAGAGAGAGAGAGAGAGAGAGAAAGAAAGAAAGAAAGAAAGAAAGAAAGAAAGAAAGAAAGAAAGAAAGAAAGAAAGAAAGAAAGAAAAUGAAUUUUGGCAUAAAAACUUGGGUCUCAUGCUUUCCCACCAAUAUGCUUUUUACAACAUUAUCUGGAUGAGGCUCAGAGAAGUUAGGCAACUUUCCUGAGGUUCCCCAGCAAGAAAGAAGCAGAGCCCAGGGUCAGUGCCAUUUAUGUUGUCCAAUAAAGACAACAUUUGGCAGUGAAGAGGGCCCUGGAUGUGGGGCCCAGAGACCUGGCUUGAAGCUUGGAGAAACCCUGUUCGGCUCUCUGGGCCUCAAUCUCUGCAUCUGUAAAGUGGGGCUGCAUCCAGAUGCCUUAGUGUGUGUCUGUGUCUCUGGGCAUGCUCAGGGACACCUUCACAGGGAAAAGAAGCUCGCACAGGUGAAAGGGAAAACAUUCCAGGCCAAGAAAGGAGAGCUGGACCCAUACAGGUAGAGGAACAGGAGGGAAGUCAGGCUGGAGCAGCAGCAGCAGGAAAUGGAAGCUGAGGCUGGGGCUGGGAAGAGCAGCCCGAGAGGCCUUUCAUUUCCAGGUGGGCCCAGUUCCCAUCCUUGACCUUGGUUGUUCACCUCAAGAUGUUUUCAGACGAGAGAUACCCAGUCCACCUCUCUGGAUCUGAAAGUGCAAUUUUAUCCCUCCGGAUUUGCGUAGAAAACGUCUGGCCCCUGCCCCAUCUCGUUUUCCCAGCCAGGUCUCAGAGCUCGGUUCACAUGAGGCGAAAUAUUUGGACAUCAGCAAAGCAUUAAGUAAUUGGUGGAUUUUUUUUUCCUUUUCCAUUUGCAUUUGUUUGUUUCCUGCAGGGUUGCCUGACACUAGCCAGCCUUGAAUUUGGUCCUGUUCUCUGCACAGCUGGACUCAGGGAGCCCAACCCAGAUUGUGCAUAGAACAGGUGGCCUGCCUGGGGGCCAGUGAGAUGGUGUUGGGUACAUAGACAGCAGCGGGUGCUGCAGACUCCCUGGGAUCUUGAGGGGGGAAGUAAGAAAAUGGGAGCAGGUCCCCCAAAACACCAGCAGACUGCACUCCCAUCAUGACCUAAUGAGAUAGUGCAGUUGACCAAAAUAGCAAUGUCAUCCAAGAGAACACAUCUUCCUACUAGCAACAGCCAACACGGGAAAUUGAAUGAACCCAGGGGGCGCAGACCUAAGAGACCUGGCUAGCGUCUGGCUCUUUGAGCCUUGGGUAAGCCUUUGCCUCUCCUCGUAUCUGUUUCUUCAUCGGCUGUUUCAUGAGUUGUUGUAAAGGUUGCCAGAUUUAGCAAAUAGAAACACAGGAUGCUCAGUUAGAUGUCAAUGCCAGAUAAACAAUGAAUUACAUUUGUUAGUGUAAGUAUAGCUUGUGCAAUAUUUGGGACACAGUUAUCCCAGAAAUUUUUCUUUGUUCCUCUGAAAUUCAAAUUUAAUGGGGCAUCCUAUAUUUGAUCUGGCAACCCUCGAUGUUGUAACAAUAAAGUGAAAUGGUGUGUACACAUCCUUCACGGCGUGCUUCACCCCAGGGAAAGUGAUCAGAGCCCAGUCACCAUUUCUGUUAGUGCCACACCAGGAAUACUAGAUAUUAAGUGCUAAUACUAAUUUGUUAAUAUCAAUUACUAUAUUAUUAAUGAUUAUUCAUAUAGUUAAUUAAUAUUAAUCAGCACAAAUAUUAAAACUCAUCAUUUACUGAGUAGCUACUAUGCUCCAGGCAUGUCCUUCACAUGACUUCAUUGUCAUCACAUCACUCAAUGUGGGAAUGCCAUUGUCCCCGUUUUAUUGCUGAAAGUCUCAGGACUCCACAAGGUUAAACGUUGGUUACAGCUGUGACCUGGGUUGCUGAUAGAGGAACACUGUUCUGAGUGCCUUGCAAGGGCUGCCUCCUUAAAUGGCCUCAUCAACUCUGUGAGUAGAUACUAUUGCUAAACUAUUACUACGAUCUCUGUUUUGCAAAUGGGGAAACUGAAGACUAAGACUUGCCCAAGGUCACACGGGCUCAUCAAUGGCUGAAUGAGGCUUCAAACCCAGGCAGUAGGCUGCCUGGCUCCAUCCCUCCUCUAGGCUGCUUUAUCAGCCACAUGAAUAGAUAGAACGAGGGCAACUGUGGAGUGUGUCCCUAGAGGGAGAGCACAGGGCUACCAGGCUGUGGCAAGCAGCACACACAGGCACAUUACCAGCUGUGUCCCAUUUAGCCCUCUCAGCAGCCCCCUGUAAACAAAGACAUCACUAUUCCUAUUUCUGAUGGUAUCUGAGGCUUCCCUGGCUGUAUGCAGUGAGUUGGUGUCAGGACAAAUGUUUACAGAGUUCCAGAGCUGAGCACUGGAGCAACUCGGAAGGUCAAGAUAGGGUUCAGCCAUUGGAGUCCAAGUGCCCACUUCUGCCUCCAACAGAGAAGCUCUGACACUUCCUGGCUGUGUGACCCUGGGCAAGGUACUCCACCUCUCUGAUCUCGCAUCUCCUUGCCUGUAAAAAGGGACUGAAAAAAAAUACCUUCCUCUAGAUAGAACUGUUGUAAUCUUCAAAUGACCCAAUCCAUGAAAAGCACUGAAUAUAGUGCCUACUAACAGAGAAACUGCAAAAUAAAUGUGAGUAGUUACGGUCAUUUUUAGGCAUCUGUCUUUGGGCUCCCUCAGUAGCAGAGCUUGAGAUACAGACUUCAGGGCAGGUGGUUCCUUUGGGAGGUGAACUCAGGAUGCCCCAGUAGAGGAGUAACCAGGGAGACAGGAAAAGAAGAGACCAAUACAGAGUGUGUGAAUGAGCAGGUGACUGCUGCCGGCACUUGGAGCACAGUCCUGCUGGGGAACUCUGGUAGGCUGCACAGAGCACACCUGGGAGUUGUCUCUCCCAGGGGUGAGGGAGUUGGGAUAUUUAUCCUCCAACUCCCCUACAUCUCUGGCCUAAUCCCUUGCACAUGCCCAGUGUACUCAGUGGGCCAGAGAAAGCCCCUGGGCAAAGGCAGUAGUAAAGUGAGUGGGCAUGGGAAGGGUGAGGGACAAGCAGGCAUGGUCAGGGCACCCACUACAUCUUGACAGAAUCUCUGGAAGAUUUCAGUUAAAAAGCAACCUUCUGCUAAAAUAAUAACAAUGACAACAACAAUGGCGUUGACAACGAUAAUAAUAAUUCAGGUUGAAAACCAAGGAUAUGAUCUGUCCCCACCCACCCCCAUUCAGACCCCCAGACCAGUGUUCUCCUCCAAAGCUGAGAAUGGGGUAACCAGCUGUCCAAAGAAGCAACCCAGAUUUCCUUCGGCUCCAGGAAGGGCAUGGAAUGGCUCUCUGAGUUCUAGGAGUUGGUGCCACCGAGAGAGGAGGACAUUGCCUGUCCUUCAGGCCUGUGCAUCCUGCAGAGGCCGUGGUGCUAAUUGCAAAGGUAGGGGACCCAUAAAGCAUUUUGGACGUCUGCUGGCAGCAGCUGGCUGAAGGCAAGACCUGUCAGGGACCAGCACUCAGCUUUGAUUUAGCGUCAGAGUAGAGGUUUAAAAGAAAAAGGAGGAGGAGGAAGAUUCCAUUGGGUUGAGCGAAAAUACUUGCUCUAAGUGGUUGGGCCAUGAGUGUAUCUGUCAACCUGGAACAAGAAGAGAACUACUAUUUAGAUAACUAUUUGCUGCACCUCCCAAAUGUCUGGGGCUUUACCUGGCUUGCCUCCUUGUGUCCCCCAACCCAGCCACUUAAGAAUAGGUAUUAUUAUUUUUAUUUCCAUUUCAGAGAUGAAGGAGUGAAGGCUCAGAGGGGGAAGGUGACUUGCCCAGGGCUACACAGUGAGGAAUGGUCAGAGCUGGGAUGAGGACUUGGCACUGAAUCCAGUGCUUAUGCCAGCCAAUAAGUAGACCCCUGCCUGACACAGGCUAUGGGAAUAAAAUUUGUCUGAAGAUGCACUGGGAGGCAGUGGAAGCUGAUGGUUAGCUCAGGGCCUCUGGCAUCAGAGUUUCUGCUUUAUUUCCCAGCCAUCCAGUUUUCACUAGCUGUAGGGCUAGUGAAGCGAUGUACAGUCUCUGGGACUCAGUUUCCUUAUCUGUAAAAUGGGGACACAAGUAGUACAUUCUUCCCUGGAUUGAUCUAAAAAUUGAAUGGCAUCAAGGCUUUAGAGAAACUAAUUGAGUCCAUAAAUAUUCCAUCAACUCUAGGGGGUUUGAUAACUCACAGGAGGCUCUUGGAGGCAGAAAAUAUAUGAGCUUUCAAUGGUGGAAGCCCAGCUGUUGCAUAGGUCAGAUGUAAGAGACCAGUCGAAUCUGGUUGCAGAAUUCCAUGCCCUCUUUAGCAACCUCCUUAAGGAGCCUCCUCCUCCCAAGAUUGCUUAGAGGAAAUUACAAGUCACUGCCCAGAGCGUGGUAGCAGACAUCUUCCGCAGGGUCACGCUGUCACCACAUAGCGUGAUGGUUCUGUGCUAAGCACUUUACAUACUUUAUCCUACAGGGUCUUAACUACAACCCCUGAGUGAGAUCUCUUAGCUUUGCCAUUUUAUGGGUGAGCAAGUAGAGGUCAGAGAGGCAAGAUCCUUUGUUCAAAUUACAACAGCUGGCAAGCAAUGGAGGCCAGGAUGGAGCUCAGGAGCCCAACGGUCCAUCCACCAUCACCUGAGCUAAGAAAUGUGAAUUUUUUUCCUACAAAUACCCGAGGAAGGUACCGAAGACAGCUUCGUUGCCCUGGGCAGAUGGUCACCGCUUGGCCCUGCCUGGUCACAGCUAGUCAGCUAGACUGGAUGCUUCUUUGUUUUUCUACAGGACAUUCAUGUCUCAAGGGACACCAAAUCUAGAGACUCCACACUCCACAAAACCUCCAGCCUAGUCCCCCAAAUUCAACCACAGCCUCGUUCAAAAUAGCCUGUCUCUGGAACACACUGUCCAGCUGCUCCAGACCUUGCAAUAUUCAGGAAGUCAUC
rnacentral:lncRNA from 1 species